GAUGAACGCUGGCGGCGUGCCUAAUACAUGCAAGUCGAGCGAACGGACGAGAAGCUUGCUUCUCUGAUGUUAGCGGCGGACGGGUGAGUAACACGUGGAUAACCUACCUAUAAGACUGGGAUAACUUCGGGAAACCGGAGCUAAUACCGGAUAAUAUUUUGAACCGCAUGGUUCAAAAGUGAAAGACGGUCUUGCUGUCACUUAUAGAUGGAUCCGCGCUGCAUUAGCUAGUUGGUAAGGUAACGGCUUACCGAGGCAACGAUGCAUAGCCGACCUGAGAGAGUGAUCGGCCACACUGGAACUUAGACACGGUCCAGACUCCUACGGGAGGCAGCAGUAGGGAAUCUUCCGCAAUGGGCGAAAGCCUGACGGAGCAACGCCGCGUGAGUGAUGAAGGUCUUCGGAUCGUAAAACUCUGUUAUUAGGGAAGAACAUAUGUGUAAGUAACUGUGCACAUCUUGACGGUACCUAAUCAGAAAGCCACGGCUAACUACGUG
rnacentral:rRNA from 1 species